UUCGGAGCUGGGGACCGAACCCAGAGCCUUGCGCUUCCUAGGUAAGCGCUCUACCACUGAGCUAAAUCCCCAGCCCCGUUAUACCUGGGUUUUAAGCCUGCACUUUCCACAGCUUCUAGAACUACUGAUGUUGAGGCCUGUCAUUCUACCCCACUGCAUGUCCCAUAGUGAAAACCAAUUUUACUAUAAAAUAAAACACAGGGAAAUGGAAACCUGUCUGUCCCUCAAAACAAAAUCAAAAGUCAUAAAUAUUCCAGUGUGAAAUGUGAACUUAGGAAAGGACAGGCAACCCUUUUCUUAAGGAAUUUCUGUGCCUGAUUUUGAAAUAAUUCUGGAGUGAAUCUCCAACCACCCUGGUCUCUAUACAAGGUCUGACCGUGAGCCCUGUGGAACUCACUAUGUAAACCAUACUGGUCUGCCUUUGCCUCCGGAGUGUUGGGAUCAAAGGUGUGCAUCACCACGCCUGGUGGAAUCUUUUUUGAUGGGUACAAAUAACAAUACAUAAAUAAGUGUAAGCUCCUCAAACUGUCAACCGAGUGUUCCAGUAAUUCCUCCUGUUGCCUUAGAAACAAAACCAAACACAGAACCCUAAGACAUAACCAAACACUACUGAUAGCAACAGAAGUGAACCUAGCCAAACAAAUGAAAGGAAGCCUUUGAUACUUCACGUGUUCAGAGGUCAGCUGUGUGUAGGCUGCUUUUUAGGUAUUCAAUAUAAAUUACUAGGUAUAAAUAACUUUACAUUUGCCUGUCUACAUAUCUGGUAAUGCUGUUAGAUUGACGAUGCAGAAUCAAGAUGCAUUUCGCCUGUGAGGGCUCAUAGGACUGAUUGGAUUCAGGUGCAGUAUGAAAGAACCUUGGCUUACACACAGAACUGUUGCCAGUGAGUGACCAGGGCCACUAAGUUCAUAUGAAUUUAAGGGGGCUGGGUAUGUUUCCAGUGACCAUAUUGGCAGGAAGAUCACAAGUUCAAGGCUAACCUACGUAGUGAGACUAUCUCAAAAACAAACACAAAUGAAUAGGAGGAAAUGAUUGGCUUUGGUUCUUUGUGGAGUUGGUUACAGCGGACCCAUGGUUCUCCAACUACAGAGGGCUUGCUUGUUAGAACACACACAGCUGGCUUCCCAGACCUCACUAGGUAGGCCUAGGGUAGGCUCACUAAUGUAAACUGGAUUAUCCCCAGGAUUACUGGUUGCGAUGCUCAAAGGACUACAUGUGAAAUUAGGUAACUUUAUUUUCUUAACUCUUUGUAGAUUUUACACACACACACACACACACACACACACACACACACACACACCCUCCCUCUGCUACGUCGCAACCCUUACCAUUGCUUGAUUUCUCCAUCAUGACAUUUUAAAAAUUGCCAUAUGGUAAUGAUUAUAACUCUGACAAAUUUCCACGUUUUCUGAAAACCUUGGGUCUAUUCAAACUCAGAUUAGAUAUUCCUGAGUAACCAGAGGAUUCUCAGUAAAGACGCAUUAAAAUAGCCAGGUCUAGUGGCCCAUGUCUUUAAUCUCAGCACUUUGGAAGCAGAAGCAGGUGAGUUUGAGACCAGCCUGGUCUACACAGCAAGGGCUACUUAGAUCAUGGUUUUAAAAAAAUACUUCUGAUGGUAAAUGUCACAAUUCUGAACUUCUGAUUUAACCCCCACAUAUUAAAUACUAACCAGUCACCUUUAAAAAAAAAAAAAAAAACAAAUCCAUGUGGGUAUUUUUCCUGCACGUUUGUCAGUGUAUGUUUGACAGUUCCUGAGGAAGCCAGAAGAGGGUGUCAGAAGCCAGAGUGUGCCAAGCAACUGGAGUUACAGAUGAUUGUGAGCCACCGUGUGGGUGCUGGAAAUGGGACCUCCAUCCCCUGGAGGAGCAGGCAGUACUCUCAGCCACGGACUCAUCUCCAGUCCAGCAAAUGUCUUUUAAGAUAGAGCGGCAGAGCAGUUGCAAAGCAGUAUUGGGGGCUCACUGAAAAAAAGUGGGCCUAUCACACAGAACUGCUUUCUAGUUGAGAUUAUAUAGCUUUGAGUCUGUACUGGACAGGGAUAACAGUGACACAGAGGCCCCCUGAACACAGUGGACUCAGGGAAGUGGGCAUGUUCGGGAAUGAGAUUCUCAUGGUGUGUGUGUAGGAUACGUAGGAAGUCAGAGCACUGUCAGCCUGUAGGUAACAGGCAGCGGGCGCAGUAGCAGUUCUAUGGCGAGGCCAGCGGUAUCUGGUGACAAGGGGUCGGUCAGGGAUAACAGGGCCUUGUCUUAAAGCAGACAUCACGGUGUACUUGGGGCUCUGUGGGAUGCUCUAAUGUGGAUUCUAAGAGGACGGGAGCUCUGGAGGCCCACUAAAUGCUGAUCAGGUGAGUCUGUCUGAAAUAAGCUGAGGUAAGACUUCAGAGCCUAUUCCAAAGCAAGGGAGUUCAGUGGAAAGUGAUUCCCACUUGAAGUCUGCACAGCCUUCUCUGAGAGAGAAAUCCAAUGGGCUCUGUAGAGAGGAAGGACUGGUGGCAAGGAAGAGAUCUUUUAAGAUUUUAAAACACUUUAAGACUUAUUACCAAGACUAAUUAAGCAAGCACAGUAUUCUCUGUCAGGAAAUAAUGGUCGUGAGCUUUCAUUUUCUGUGACUGUCUCCACGUCCUGUUAUUUAACUCAUGUCAGACUUUCUUCAUAGUUCUGCUCUGCUCAGAGUCCGUGCUUACACUUUUAGAUGGCUUUGAUAAUCAUUAGCAUGUUUAAAUCCGAUUUCUGGAAGGCAGGAUUAUUGCUUCUUCCGGAGUGUGUCUGAUGGAUUUGUGUGGGCCAGAGCGGUCUGCAGCCUCCAGACUGGCUCCUCUGUAUGAAACUUAGUUUUAUCUUGAAAUUUUAUAUUUUGUAACUGUUCUUAGGAAAUACUGAAACUUAGACUCUUAGGGCUGAUUUUCCAUGCACGUGACUGACUUUAGACUUUCAUAAAUAGAGCUCUAGGCUUGAAUCUGUUAUGUCGAAAAGACGUGCUACCGAGAUCUACAGUCGUUUUUGAUUUUUGACAAAAACAUGUCAGUGUUUGACACUGAGCGUUGAGGUGCAGUUAUUUAUUUGAAUCUUUAGAUUUUAUUUUUAUUUUGCGACAGGGUCUCAUGCUGUAGCCAAGGAGUCUUUGAACUCACCUAUGUAGCCCAAGCCACCCUUAAAUUCUACAGCCAUCCCCCUCCUGUCUCGGGCUCCCCAGUGCAGGAAUUAAAAGCACAAACCGCUGUACACGGCUAACUCUUAGUUAAGUUUGUGACAUAGUUUUAAUUUCUGGGAUGGGCGGACUGAGUGUUCUGGGACCCAGAGAGUCAGUAGCCAGGCCUGCUGUAGAUUCUUCUCCUGGUCCCUCCUUGAGUGUUCCUCCCUCCUCCCCAGAGCAGUUUUCAAUGGCCCCCUUGAGGAUUGUUGAACAAUCCUUUCCCAGGGGUCACCUAAGAUCAUAGGACAACACACAUAUUUACAUUAAGAUUCAUGGCAGCAAAACUGAAGUUAAGAAGUAGCAAUAAAAUAAUGGUGGGGGGGUUGGGGAUUUAGCUCAGUGAUAGAGCGCUUGCCUAGGAAGCGCAAGGCCCUGGGUUCGGUCCCCAGCUCCGAAAAAAAGAACCAAAAAUAAAUAAAUAAAUAAAAUAAUGGUGGGGGAUCACCACAACAUGAGGCGGUGUACUAAAGGGUCACAGCAUUGAAAGGCUAAGACAGUUACUGCUUUUUCUUGUCUUUAAUGACAAGGAAUGCUUCUUCUAUACGGGAGCAUCGGACUCAUUUUCUCUCAGUUCCUUUUACUCCAAGCUGUGAGAAUUCUGUCGUAGCCCUGCAUGCAGCCUUUCACACUGGGUGUGGUUGGCCAACGCCUCCGUGUGGAUCUUCAUGAGUCUGUCCCCACACAGUCUUCCUUUCCCUGUCUGUCCUCUUUCCGUGCUCUGGCUGGUCUUAGUUUGAGCAUUGAGAUGUAGCGCUGACUGGCCAUCCCUUUAAUAGUGAUGUGUGGUUGCUUAGGGCUGUGCUGACACUUGCUCCCCUUAGCUUUGGGGCCCUGGAAAAAACCGCCUCUUACUCUCUUCCUUUGUGAGAGUUUGGAUGCACAAAGGGUUUCCUGGCCCCCAGCUUCUGUAUGUACAGUGCUAGAGUUACAGAUCCUCACAGGGGUGUUUCCUGGAGAGAAGGGGAGAGAAUCCAAAAUCCCUUAAAUGAGUUUAGUCAUUGCUGUGGUUCGAACACUUGAUCAUAUUGGCCAUGCCUUAUUCACAUUCUGAAUUUAGCUCUCUGAAUUUUGUAGUUUUCCUAUAAUUUCAUACUAUUUAAUGCAGGCUCUGUGACAAAAGAAUUGUUAUGGCUCCAUCAUUUUUCCCACCUCUUCCUUGAAAUUGCAUCCAUUUGGCCCUCCCCCUUUCCCUCCCACUGGGGUUUGAGUGGGUCCCAAGGGCACCCUCUACACAGUGGGCCAUUUGCAGUGUCCUGGCAGAUGAAGUUGAAUCCUGUAGCCAGGAAAGGUCACCUAUCAGGAUUUGGAAGAUUUCUGCUACUCUGUGGCUCCCAAGAGGAGUGGCUUCUAAAGACAGCCUUUCCUGUGUAUUUGAACCAAUGAGGGAGUUUCUGGGGUCAGCUCAGCGUUUCUGUUAACCUCUUUUGCACUCAGGUUGUGCAUAACUUGUGCGUGACCUUGAGCGCUUGUGUCCUGUUUUCAGGGAACUCUUGCCAGUGAGGAGUCUGUCUGUUCACAACUACACCAGGCUGCUUAUCCAUCUGUGGUCAAGGCCGUUGGCACUUGUUUGGUGCUUGCUGGUUGUGCAUGGUGGCUCACACUUAGUGCACAUACCAUCCAUGUUAAAAGCCUGCGAUGAUUCCCAGUGAGCAUAGUUAAGGCUGAUUAAUCAAUCAGCUAACCACCUUGGUCUCAGAGUUGUUUAUGUUCCUUUAGCUUUGCCUUUUCUUUUUAUUUCUUUCUUUCUUUCUUUUCUUUUUUUUAGCUUCAGAAUUUUAUGGUCUGUCAGAGAGCAUCAUGGUGGUCAUGGUGGCACCACAUUUUUUAAAAAGCACUUACUGCAUGAAAAUGCUUAUGUUUUGAUAGGAAGAAGUGAAACAUUUUUAAAGGUCAUUCAGGACUCUUUUGUGGAUUUCAUCUUUGAAAUUUAUACCGUAUGCCUUUGCUUUGUGAGACAUAACCGUGCCUGUCCUUUUAAGUAUGCCCAAAUCCCUCCUUGUCCCUACUUUUAGGGAGUUCCAAGUUGGGAUUCUUCCUGCUGCCAAUUUAGUUCUGGAAGAGGACCCAAGGGCUCUGCUCAUAGCCACCCAUCUUUGUGACUAUCUAAUGAGCCAUGUGCAACAAGGACUUCUUUGGCUUAAUGAACCAGUGUCCUAGUUAGUCAUUUCAUAUUAUCUGCAUAAUACUUUCAAGACCAGAACUUUUGAAAAUACAAGAUCAGGGCUGGGGGUACUGCUGGGUGGGAGAGCUUUGCAUAAGUGUGGGCCUUGGGUUCAGUCCAGCGCUACAAAAGCCAAAAAGAUCAUUUGGGAUUCUAAUCAGCAAACUUGGUUUCCAUUGUCUUUAAUGGUCUUCCUGAUAACAGAUGUGGAAUGUAUUAGUUCCUCUGUUGGGGGCAAGGUGGUGACAUGAGGCACAGCCUCUGUCCAAGUGACCCUGGGUCGUUAACCCAGAAAGCUGUCCUUCGUUCUUGAGGAAAGCCACAGCAACAUCCCAAGAGUCGACUAGAAAUGCCUGCUGUGUUUUGUUGGUAUUGGAGGAAUCACUUGAUCUAAGAACAGACCUGCGAUCGAUCGCAAAAGUUUAUGUAACACUUGCUAACAACAUACGGUGGCACUCUGAAGUAAGAGCUCUUCAUUUCAGGCAAGGUUCCUCACUCAUGGACAUUGCAGGCCACCAAUGCCCCCUCAGAUGUCUGAGGUUGUGGACGUGAGUGACUGUUCAUCAGUAGAGUCCUCCUAGUCUUCAGUAUGGAGGGCUUAACUAAAAGUAAACACAACUCUGGUUGGUUACACUUUCUGUUCCAAAAGGAAACAGGCGAAGGCUUUGGCUGUGUCUGGAGUGUGCCUUGGGAGACUUGUGGGAUGCUGGUAGGCUGUGGCUCUGGCCUUCUCAAUUUUGCCCCUCCCCCAUUCUUUCUGUCUCUUUUCUACUUUCAGUUUUCCAAGUUUUCUUUUUGGUGUGGGUUCUAUUCUGUCUCUCUGCCUUUCCUGUGUGCUCUUUCCAGGACUGCAGACAUAAUAGCUCAGUUGGAAGAGUGUUUGCCUCCCACUCACGAGGCCCUGGGUUCAGUUCCCCACAAAACAAAUUUCCCAGAAACAUUCUGGAAGUUCCCACAUCAUCCCCUGACCCCACCCCAACUGAUGACCAUCUAAAGCUGAAGACAACUUUGACUCUAAUGUUAGGAUCGUUUUAGUCUAUAAACACUGAUGGAUAGUAAUGAACAGGAAGUAUUUCUGAAAUUUUAAUUGGUUGAUAAUAGGUUACUUCCUGGUUGGAUGGAAAGUAGGUGUGAAAUAUGCCCUUUGCUCUUCAGGAGGCGUUCAGACAGGAUUCAGAGGCGUGCUUGAAGACUUGCUAGAAUUUAAGCUGUCUUUUAAGUAACAGAUUUCAGGACUGUUUAACAAAUUUGUUGAACAAAAAUACUGUUUGGGUUCAAGCGGUGUUAUUAAAUUGCUUAAAUCAUGUUUGGUAUGAAGAGCAUAACAGUCAAAUUGUGUAGAACACCACUGUUGGAUGAGCACACAGUCUAGCUGUUAUGACCUCCAGAGUUAAUGAGAUGCAGUCCUGUUAGUCCUGCGUCAUAGAGUUGGCCUAAAAUGACAUAGCUGGCUAGUAGCAUAAUUGACAACAGGCAAACAAUAUUCCUGUAUCAAAAACUCAGGUGACUUGGAAGGAAAAUCGGCUAAGCAGCCUGAGCUUUGACUUAGAUACCGCCUAGUUACCAGGUGGGGAUUGGUCUUUGGAGCGGAAUUACUGAGGAGGGUCCCUCCCAGGUCUGGGAUAUAGUUUGUUGUACUUUGUUCUUUGCUGCAGUUGAACCGGGGCCUCCUCAGGCCCCCAGGCCAAUGCUUGGCAUCUCAGCUAACUGGGGUGGAUACUCAUUCAAGGCCAGAUCUUCCAAAUUUCAAAUCUGGUAGAAGGAGCCCUCCAGUAGUAACACUCAAGGCCAGUUUUUAAGGGGUGGGCGCACUUUUCAGUUCUUAUUCUUUAAGAGUUUGAGAGACCAGCGUUACAUAAAUUUAUGGGAAUUUUGCUGUUUGCAACUGAGAGUUGCUUUGUUUGGGGUUGGAGAAUAGGUUUUGUGGCUCCUGGGAGGAGGACCUGCAGUUGGGCCGAGGGAAGCCCGACAGUCUGGAACAAUCUGUAAGGGGUGAGGGAAGAGGAGCUUUCGCGAAAGUAUCAGAGAAAAGCUGAGGGGAUUGGAGCUCAUGACGGUUGGUGUCUAGGCCUUUCUCCAUUCUUAGCAAGUCUUGCUUGGCAGUAUGAAGGACACUGUUCUCUUGCCAGAAGGAAAUGAGAAAGAGGCAUGGAGGCAAAUGGAGGGAAGCCCUUUGAGGUUUUUCUUUCUGAAGGAAGUGAUAGCCACCCAGGCUGCUGGUAGCAGUGCCACACAGCAGGCGUGGGGCACAUAGGCAGCCAUGAUUUAUGUCUCACAGUUCUGGAAGCCCAAGAUCAAGAGACUGUCAGAUUCUUGUCAGAUGAAGACCAGCUUCCUGGCUCAUAGUGAUACCUUCUAGCCAUAGCCUCAGUUUGUCAGGGAGGAAGCAGCUCUGUGUGGCUUGUGAUUUGUUGAGCUAGGCCUUGCCAUGUGAUAGCUCAGGUUGGCCUCCAAUUCCCGGCAGUCUUCUGUCUCAGCCCGGAUCUCUUCUCUGUGUUUUAAAAGCUCACUAAUUCCAUCCAUGAGUGCCCCACCCUCCUCGCCUCCUAAGAUUAUUUCUAAAGCUCUCGCCUCCCAGUUCUGACUAAGGAGUAGUAGUAUUUCAAUAAAUGAAUUGGUGUAGGGUGGGUGGCAAAGUAUUCAGUCUGUAGGGAAAAUUCUCUUUGUGUCCCUUAAUUUAUUUUGGUUGAAUCUAACAACAAAAAAUAAAGGUCUAAAGUCAGACAGUAACUUUAAAAAAAAACUAUGGGAAAAUGAAUAUGUAAAAGUAAAUAUUCACUUAGCAGUAAUAUUUACACUUAGGGAUUUUUUGGGUUUUUUUUUUGUUUGUUUGUUUGUUUUUUUAAGAGUCUUAUAUGUAGCCCAGGUUGGGAUCUUAAUCCUCCUGCCUCAGUUUUUUGACUGUUAUGAUUACAGUCAUGUGCCCUACUACAUUGUGUUUCUAUUAUCAAUGCUAUUAAUUAUUUCCAUGUGAUGGCAACAUGAUUAUCUUGAAUGAUAGAUUUUUUUUAAGUUGCAUGUCUAUGGAAUCAACCAAGCAGUAGAAAUAGUUGGAGAAAAAAAUCUUGGCAUUUGUACUGAUCUAUACUGAACAUGUCGGCAUUCCCUGAACAGUGCAGAGGACUGUUUAUAUGCCGUGUGCAUUGCACUGUGUUGUAAGUCUGAAGGUAUUUAAGGUGUGUCAGGAGAUGUGCAGAGAAUACAUGCAAAUGCUAGGCCACAUGGUUAGUAGACUUGAGCAUCUGCAGAUUUUGUUGCGGGUUGGGUCUUGAAUCCAAUCCCACAUGGAUACCAAGGGCAAUCAUAAUUAUAGGAUGAACACCUGAUGUCCAGUCUCCAAGAUAACUUUAUUAACACUCUCCUUUAUUAACAUUUUAUUUUUCAUUUAAUGUACUAGUGCUUUGCUGCAUAUACAUCUGGAGUCCAGAGGAGGGCAUCAGAUCACCUUAUAGAUAGAUGGUUGUGAGCCACCAUGUGAUUGCUGGGAAUUGAACUCAGGACCUCUGGAAGAGUAGCCAGUGCUUUUGACCGCUGAGCCACCUCUCCAGCCCCCCUUUAUUAACACUUUGAGCAUGUUGAGUAAAAGGAACUAACAUCAGAAUUUAUUUAGCCAGAAUUUUGUGUUUUCAUGUUAAAACAAAGUUAAUGAUUCUUAAAUGCCUCUACUCUUGAAGGCGGCCAGUGUUACUGUUUAGUCACUCCUAGUGCUCAGUCUGCACUGUACUUACAAAGACAGGAGGAGAGGGACUUUGUGGUGGUCUGUGGUGGACCCCUCUUCUAGCCAUGAUGGAAAAUUGAGAGGCUGGACUUUUUUGGGUCUUGUGUAAGCGGCCACAGCUUCAGCGAGUCAGUGAGCACAGUGCCCAUGUCAGAUCCAGAAGGCCUUUUUACUGCACAUCCUCCUAUUCUGGCUCUCACUAAAACCCCAAAACAUACAAUUAAGUUGGGAAAUAACAGCAGAUGUGGCUAUCUACCAGGGAGGGAGGGAAGGAGGAAGGGUGGGUGUGUACUUUAAAAAUAAUUUCAUGCAGUGAAUUUUGAUCAUAUCCAUCCUCAGUUCUUAACCUUGACUUCUUCCAGAUCCAUUCUCACUUCCCUACUCACUUCUCACUUUUCAUGUCCUUUUAUUUGGGGUUAAUUCAAUAACCCUUUGACAUUCUGGCUAUGGAGCCAUCUGGAUUGCAGUUGACCUGCGAAAAGAUACUCCCUUUAAGGAAACUGAUUCUCCCUUCCCCAGAAGCUUUCAACUGUACAUAGCUUCUCAAAGCUGCUAUAAGUAGACUAAUCUAUAAGCAGAUAAGUCAUAGGGCAGUUUUAUACCCUGCCCAUAUAGCAAAGUAAUUAUAGUAGGCUAACCCCCAGGGCCUGCGAGCUCUCCAGUCUUGGCCUCUUGGCUAGAUUUAUAGUUAACCAGGUAUAUAUCGACUUCUUUGGAAUGGACUUUCAAUGUAAUCAGAAAGCAGUUAGUCACUUCCCUAACAUCUGUUGCAUUCAUAGACAUGUCUUGAAGUGUCAGUUGUUACUAUAGUUCAUAGGAUUCAUAGCUAGGUAAGACUGUUGAUGGCUUUACCCCCUGGCAGUCUGCAUAGGACCCUGUUACUGUGUUUGAGGUAGGGUGCUUCCUGGUCAGUACCCACUUUGGUUUCUCCAUAUCCUAUAACCAGUAUAUGUGGUACCUUCAGCAAUGGUCUUCAGCAGUGAGGCCUUACUGUGUAGUUUUGUUAGGCAACCGAGAGCAACAAUAAUAAUAGUCUGUACUGUUUUGGGGAUUUCCAGAAAUCUCCAACCACAAGUUUGAGGGGCGGUGUCCCACACUUGAGCACUGGGCUUUUUGUUUGGCAUCCUGUGUCUCUGAGGUAAACAUGAUCCCCAGAGUAGAGUAACUCUCAUUAAAGUCAUUGUUUUCAUAUGCUUUUGGAGACAUCCUUUGGGUUAGACACCUCUCCUGCAAACCCCUCCCUCUGCUUUACCCUCCUAUCCCAGUGUGCUUGCUGCCAUGGCCAUGUUUGAAGAAUACUGGCCACCCACUGUGGAGAAGUUCCUUCCAUUUGGUUUGUCUGAUGUUUCCUCUUGUGAGGUUGAGGUUUUGUGCUUUUGUAGACGUGUCACCCUAGGGACGUCAUACCCUCACUGUAUCACACUGGAGGCAUGUGGUGUCACCCCUGAUAAGGUUGAACUUGAUACAAAGGUUGAGGCCAGCUUUUCUCUCUCUGUGCCUGUCUUGUCUGUCAGUUUUUCCUCCACUUUUCAAAUAAAAGAGCAAGUUCAUGGAAUAAUCUUUCUUAGAUUUUAUUACCACCUUAUUUAUAAGUAAAAUUUAAAAUGUUUUGGUUUUGGCUGUACUGUUUUUUUUUUCGUUUCAAUUGAUGGGUCUCUUUUUUGUUUGUUUGCUUUUGAGACAAGGUCUCAGUCUAGCCCUGGCCGGACUGGGACUCGCUAUGAUUCUCCUCAGCUUCUGGCAGUCCUCCUGCCUCAGUCUUCCAAGUACUGGGAUGACCUCUGUGAGCCACCAUACUAGCUUCUCAAGGUUUGAAAAAUAAUCUGUAGUCAAACUUACUGAUGGAGUCCUAGUUCGCCUGUCCCACCAGCAAUGUCAGAGGACAUGCCAGUAGGACCUAUCCCCACAGCAGCGUCAGAGGACACGCCAGGUCCCCUCCAGGACUUGGCACAGCUUAUUCUUGUGUGUGAUCUGAGGUACAGAGCUAAAUCUCUCUCUCUCUCCAAAUGGCUCUCCAGUGUCUUUAACACCGUUUCUUAAAGUCAGUCUUUGUCCAGUGCUUUUUCACAUCUCCUUUAGUUUGCACAAUGCGGCUUGUCUCCUUGAGCCCGCUCUUUACUUUGGUCUGUCUGUCUGUCUGUCUGAUCUGUCUAAAUAGCACUCUCCAUGAUGUAGGCUCAUGUUAGAAUAGAUUACCUGGCAGAACCAUCGUCCUCCUCUCUAAAGCCUCAGAGUUUCCCUGGCUCUUCUGCUCAUUUAUUUUUUCAGUAUGAAAUUCCCUUAUCUCAUCCACUUAAAAACUGGGUAUAUCUGUGAAACUUACAUUGAUUUUUUUCACUUACGGUGAACUGACAUUUUAAUGAUGUUAGUUUGUUCUAUAUCAGAAAAUAUAAGGGAUUUUAUUUGGUUGAGUUUUCAUUUGUGCCUCUUUUGGGAUGUUUUAAAGUUUUCCUAUGAUGGGUUUUACACACUUCUUAUUAUGAAAAUUGCAUUUUUUCCACUUAAUAUUCUGUGGAGCAGGUCAGUACAUGUUGACCUAUUUUAUUUUGUAAAAUGGAUCCAGAGUAGUCUGCCAUGACCUAAUUUCAUUUAACUUUGCCUCUGUUGAUAUAUGCUUGUUACUUUUAAUUUUUCCCUCGUUUAAGCAGCUAGAAUUGGAAUUGCUUAUUCAUAAACCAUCUGGGUUUUGGAGGUAAUAAAUGCUGCCAAGUAAUCUUCUCAAACCAUUUGACAGAGUCAUGCAAACUUUAUUGCAUAUGUGCAUUGUUACUAGAUCUCCAAACUUCUUUAAAGGAAAAAAGCCAUGAAAGAUACUUCUGCUCUAAAAGUCCUGUGUAUUCAUGAGCAUGGGCAGAAGUGGCUGGGGCUGUAACUUAGUAACUCAGUGCUUGCCUGUUGUGACCAUGGGAUCAUACAGGAGUACUACAAAUAAAAAAGUAGCAGAAGUCACAAUGUUGGCCUUGAAUAACUACAACACAGUCUUGGAAACGACAUUUACAUACAUUAGAAAGUAUGUAAAGUUCCCAUGAAUGUAGACCUUGAAUUGAGCCCCAAAGAGAGUCACUGGGUCUAGGGAUACACACCUUCAAUCCUAGCCCUCGGGGGACAGGAACAGGUGGACCUCAGUGAAUUUGAAGUCAACUUGGUCAGAACAGCAAAUUCUAGGUCAGCCAAGGGCUACAUGGUGAGAUCUUGUUUGUUUUGCUAUCCUCCACCUCCCAAAAGAAAGUGCUGGAAGUGGUUUGGUGUGCUAAUGGCAUAGGUUACAUUGACCUUGCUUUGCCAGUGACAGUGAUGGCCUAGACUAAAAUGGUAUCUGUAUGCAAAACUAAGGAAAGGACAGCAGGUGAUGGAUGGCUUUGAGGAGAGUCUUGAAGAAACACUUCAGGUUUGAUCUCCUGGCAAGGUAACAAAUCACCCUCAAAUCCACAGAUUAGAGUCCACAUCAAAUGCUGGUUUUCUCUAAUUGUGUGCUGGGGUUGGGGUUCAGGAUCAAGGUCUCUUCUUGUACUGAAGUAGAAAUAGUAGGUUCCAGUCCUCUUCUGUGGUGGUGCAUUUCCUGGUGCUGGUGGCCCCUGGAGACCUCAGUUUUCCCUGUGAGUCUCCACAGAAUAGAGUGCCCAUAAGCCCUGGCGGCUUCAUCUCCAGAUCAAGUGAUCUAGGGGACCAAGGUGGUGCCUCAGUGCCUUUUGACUUUCCCUUUGGAAGCCAUUCACUGUCUCUCUGUCUCCACAUUCUAUUCUCUAGAAACAAGCUGUAAGGUCAGCCCACAUUCAAGAGCAGGGGAGCUAAGUUUCAUGUGUUCAAGGGGAAUGUCGAAGAAUCUGGGAACAGAUUGUGAAACCUACACACUGUCCUGUCUGUUCUGAAGAGGAGGGAUGCUAACAUUUUCAAAAGGGAAAAAUGUGCUUCUCUCCCGCCCACCCCUCUGUGGUAUCUACUGAAGAUCAAGCCGGCUGUAGUGUUGAAUAUAGAUUGAAGUGAGAUCUACCCCAUGCAGUCACUGAGCCAUCUAGUGAGGACAGAUUCAAUCGAGGGCUCUGUGAGGGGGGAAGUAGAGCAGGUGGAAGGGUGGAGGCAGCAGAAGGGUGAGCAAACGAUAAGGAAGAGAGACCAGGCUUGUCAGAACUAGGAAGAAAAGCAAGAAAAGCAAGCUCUGAGGGAAAAGGAAGCUGGUUGGGUUCUAGGCACUCGGUGGGCAAGUCCUAAGGAGUCCGAAAUGCACAGCCGGGACCCAGUUGAGACUUCUCACCAAAGAGGCCCAGCAGUGAUAGUUAACACUGUCAAGGACUGAAAACAGGGGAAACAGAGCCCAACAGGCCAGGGCCUGGGCCUGUGCUGUGAUUUAGAGAAGUGAGCCAGGUCUGCAGCAUGCUGGCGAAGGGAGAACGAGCUAUGUUCCUGGCAGGAAGGAGAGAGAGACUCUGGAAUGAUUCAGAGCCCUCAGGUGUUGGGGUUUGAAAUGAAUGUGUUUGCCUGUAAGACUGCGAGGGAGACAGCAGUUUUUAAGUGGAAUAAAACAGUUUUGGAAAAUGGAUUAUAACAUCUACAUUGGUGGCUCUUUUGCUCACGAUUGGGAGGAAGAGUGACUGGCAUUCCAGAAAUUCCUUUCUUUGGCAUUGACAUACUCUGUCUUCUUGAUUCCUUUUAGAACCACCAUUGCAUCCCAGGGAUGGUGCCCUCUACAGGAGGAGUUUUGCCUCACUUUGGGAAUCUCUUAACUGUAAGUGAAAUCUGUUUACCUUCUUACCUCUUUUCCCCUUCCACAUUCUGCGCUGGCUUGAAAUGUUCAUUAUGUGUGUCCGUGAACAACUAGGCACAGCACAGCACACACACGGGGUCAGGGCGACUGUGACAGUUGGUUCUCUCCUAAGUAAUCAGAUGUUUCCCAGGUUUUGAGGCAGACACCUUCACCCCUUAGGCUUCUCACCAGCCCCAGCUCCUCUCACCCCUCCCUGAUGGUCUUGCUUUUUAAUGCCUGUAUAAGAGAUUGGGCCAUUCUCAUUUUUAUCUCCUACAUUAAGCCUGGUUCUCUUACUGCUCUUGCUAACUAAACUUGGAGUUUAUCCAUAACAAACACGAUUAAAAUGGUAAUUGAGAUCAUACUUGAUGAUCUUCCAGGCCUGUAUAUCUAUAUGAUACAUACUCAGUUUUCACAUUAGGAAAAUAGUUUGUAACUCUCCCAAUGGAACAUGGCAUCUUCUAAGAUUUCAAUAGAGUUAAGGUUAAACGAAAAAAGGAGCUUUAUAAACUUUUAUAGAUGAUGCAUCCAGGUACUCUAAAUUGUGUGUGUGUUUCCUUCACCAUGUGAUGCAGCAAUUAUUUUCCAGUUUUUCUUUAAAGAAAACUACUUAGGUCUACUAAAUACUUACAGAAACUAAACCAAAGUGUCAACAAUUACUUAGAACCAAAUUAAAGACUUUAUGUUGUUGCUGUUGCUUUGAGAUAAGGAUAUUACACAGCCCAAGCUUCCUGGACUCACUGUGUAGCCGAGGCUAGCCUUGUUGAACUUCAUCCUCCUGCAUCCUCCUGCUUUGAUUUCCCCAGUGCUAGCUUUACAGAUGUACAGCACUGCUCACACAGAGCAAUCUUUAUAGCUUAUGCUUCGAUAAAGGAACUAUUGUUGAUAAGUUCCUUUUAGAACAAAAAAAAGUUUGAUUGUGGUCAGUAUCAUCUUUAAGACACUGGCAGCCCCACCUGAAAUAGUCCAGCUCUGCAGAAGGUGUUGGGCGUGAGCACGGGAAGAGAUCAAAAGGGCCAGGGUGUGAGAAGAGACACCAGAGAUCUCAGACGUACUGUUUGUAACCCACAUGGUACAGACAGAAGGUAUAUGGAAAGGGUUGCAGACUGCAAACCUGCAAUGACUCCAAACUAUGGUGGUUUCUAGUUUUCCUUACAUAGAAAAGAAGGGGGUGAGAGUGUGUCUUACAGAUCACUACAUUCUCAUUCUUGUGCUAAAGAGCUAGAGAGGUGCACAAAUGUGACAUCCUCUUUCACCAUUGGCAGUCAUCAGAACGUCUAGUUCCAGUGUUUGGUUCCCCUCCCUAUUUCUGGUUCUUACUCGCCCUGUUCUCUUUUUUUUUUCCUAUACAUUCUCUUGUGGACAUGAACAGAUCUAGAAAUUUCUUAGGUCACUUACUCCAUUCCCAGUUUGCCACACACUCAGGAAAUAAUGUCAUCCUUCAAGCUCCUCUGAUUCCAGAAUGUUCUGCAAACUUCUCUAUCCCUGGGCUUCUAGGACAUAUGUUACUAACAUUUCAUUUGCAAGUUUGUUAUCAAAACUGGUAGUUCCUUUGAAGAAAGGAGCAAGUCAGACUCACUUGAGCACUCCUCCAUUUGUGUGUGUGUGUAUGUGUGUGUGUGUGUGUGUGUGUGUGUGUGUGUGUGUGUGUGUCCCAAGUGCAUGCAUGCCCUUCCCUCCUACUUACGUCAGAGCAGCAGUGACACUGAGGGCUGCUCAUCUGUGGCCAGAGAGGUGGACUGUGCAUGAUGGGAGGUGUCUUUGGUCUGACAGAGGUGCUUCUGAAGUGUGCUGUGGAUGUGUCAGGGAUGGGUUGGGAACCAGACACCAGAAGCAGUGUAGCGUAAUGUGGUGAACACUGUAUCUCAAGCCCAGGCUGGUCAGGGACACUGCAGUUCACUUGCCCGUGGUCUGGGUGGCCUGAGGACCGUCUGCAGUCCUUCAUCGAGGUCGCUGCUCCUCACCUUGGGGAGAACAGGGAAGUGUUCCCAUGUGGCACACUGUAGGGGCGGAGACUUACAGGGCUUGAGACUGGUGGUGGUGCUGGGAAAGUGGUGGGAGAUGGGGUUGAAGAGGGCCCUGCCUGGACUGCUGAUGUCCUGUUGUCUGUGGAGAACUGUUGAAAGUUUUAAAUGUAAAGGGAUGGUAUAGCUUGGCUUGAGGACUUGAAAAGAUAGUGACUGCUUGGAACAGCCAUGGCAGGAAUUUAGAAGGAAGAAGGACAGGAGAGAGAAUGGAUUACUUUGCAGUGACCACAGCAUGGCGUAGGUUGAGGGCAGGGCAUUGAAGGGGCCCGAGUUAGGAGCCUCUUGCCUGGGAGCUGGAAUGACAUCACAGUUGUUUUCUUAAAUCAUUGCUUUUCAAGACAAUAGAAGAUUCUUAUAAACAUCUGACUUUUUUAUUCACCGGGCAUUAAAAUACAGUGUUUUCUAUCUUUAAAUGCACAGGUGGUCUCUGUUACAUCACCACAUCCAUCUCCUGUGGUGACUGUGUGCAACUAAGCAGCUCCCCCUUAGGAUCAGUCAGAUAAUGUCUGCCCUUUUGUGAUAGGCUAAUUCCACUUUACAGUAGGCCAAAACCGGAUCCCCUGGAUGGUCUUCAAGGUUCACCUGUGUUGUAGCAGGUGUCAGAAAUCACCUUGGUGGGCUUUGGAACAGAUAAUUGUUAACACUGCCUGCAUUAGCCUAGAAUUCACUGUCCUCCUGCCUCCAGCCUGCACCUGCAGGGGUCUCACAGUCUUAAGUUUAAGGCUUUCCUGUUGUCCAACAAACGUAUCUAGCUCCUCAUGGCACUAAACAGUAGACAUCACGCGCAUGUGCUUACGCAUGCACGCACACACACACAUACACAUUUAAGGUUCUUUACUAACCAAAUAGUAUUCAAGUAAUCUAUGUUUCAAGCCAAAAGUAUAAUCUGAGAAUUGCAGUGUUGGAAGGCUACUUUUUGGAAAGAAAGAAAAAAAAAACCUCCCCUUUUUUUCUAGAUUCCUAUAUAUUGUGUCAGUGAAUAUCGUUUCUCUUUGAAGAUCUAAGAGAGAUGACCAUGGAAGUCGAGGCUGCUGUGUGGUCUAGAUUGUAAACUCUCAACGAUUUCUCCAGCACCAUGGUAACCAUGCCUGCCACCAUGCUUCCUGACAUGAUGAAAAUGGACUAAACCCCUGAAAUUGUAAGCAAGUCCCCAGUUAAAUGAUUGCUUUCACGAGAGUUGCUUUGGUCAUGGUAUCUCUUCAUACCAAUGGAGCAGUGACUGACACUAGGGUACAUUUAUUUUCAAAAUUAAAAGCAUCCUAGCCUGCCAUGUAUUUCUCAUACAGACGUUAAUUUCCUACUACCAUAGUGCUAAAACAUGAGUAAAACAUGAGUAAAACAUGAGUGGGGUGUGUGUGU
rnacentral:lncRNA from 1 species